UACGUAGGUGGCAAGCGUUGUCCGGAUUUAUUGGGUUUAAAGGGUGCGUAGGCGGUUCUGUAAGUCAGUGGUGAAAUACUCCAGCUUAACUGGAGGGGUGCCAAUGAUACUGCAGAACUUGAGUACAGAUGAGGUAGGCGGAAUUGACGGUGUAGCGGUGAAAUGCAUAGAUAUCGUCAAGAACACCAGUGGCGAAGGCGGCUCACUGGCCCGGUACUGACGCUGAGGUGCGAAAGCGUGGGGAGCAAACAGG
rnacentral:rRNA from 1 species